AUGUACCGAGGCUACUGGGCACUAGGGGCCUUCAGGUACAUGUCACUCGAAGAGACAGAGACUACUCCCAUGGAGGAGGGGGAAGUUCGCAACUCAUCUCCUCCCAAAUGUCUCCGCACGGUUCAUGGCAGCGCUAAGAAGAACAAGUCGAUGUACCUUGUCGACUUGCAAGGCGAGGUGGAAAGCUUGGAGGAUGUCAUCGCCGGCAUGAUGGAGUUUGUUGUUAUCUUGGGCGGAUGCGACCGUAUGCUGCGUAGGCCGUAUGACUCGUACCUUUACAGCGACAACACCAUGUUCGGACGCUACACCGAGAAGCAGAAGCUCCUGAACUUUGUGCUGCAGCACCACGGCUCUCCUGGCGGCUCUCCGGCUGUUCUCCCGGUCAUCGGUGGUCCAGUGGUUGGGAAGAGGACCCUGGUCGCCCAUGUAUGCAAGGAUGAGAGGGUCAGCUCACACUUCUCUUCGAUUCUGCACCUGAAUGGAGAUUCCUUGUGUAGAAUCGCAGACCAUGGUGGUCUUGUGUCAGGAAAGAUACUGGUGGUUGUCGAGCUUGUUGCAGACAUCAACGAGGAGGAUUGGGCUAAGUUUUGUUCAACUGUAGCAACAACUAUGGACGAUGGAAGCAAGGUGAUAAUUAUCAGCCGGCUUAAAAGUUCGGUGCGACUCGGAACCGUUGAGCCAAUCUUCCUCAACAGCCUAUCGUAUGAGGAGUUCAGCUACCUCUUCAAGACACUUGCGUUUGGGAGCACGGACCCGGCGCAGCACCCGCGGCUAGCGCGGAUAGCAGACGAAUUUGCCAGAGAGUUGCGGUCGGAGUGGUCGCUUGUCGCCACGAAUAUCUUGGCGGACGUGAUGAGGAGGAACCUGAGUGUCCAUUUCUGGUUCCGUGUGCUGAGCAGGCUGAGAAGGCUAGUCGAGAGGAACUUCUCCAUGUUCGGAGAGCACCCGAAGGACCUCCUGCAGAGACGCCACCAGGUAGAUGUGACCGACUUCGUCUUGCAUCGUGCUGCUCCUCCGCUCCGCAUCGUGCCUUCCCGUGCUCGUGGCAGCAGUGACACUGAGGUUGUGGCGGAGAGGGAAGCACUGCCAAGGGUGAGGCUUGGGGAUCUGGUGAUGGAUCCCGGGGUUCGGCCACAAGGGGAUUUUUACGUGGUUUCGUGGGAAUCAAGGAUGCCGCCUUACACUUCAUUUGUUCAUUUCGUUCCAAAUGGAGAUGGUGCUCCAGGUGUGGUGGAACGGAGUACUCUUCUGUCUGGGAAGAAGCGUCCAGCAAUGUCUUUGUAA
rnacentral:rRNA from 1 species